AUAAGUGCUAAAUAAUGCAUAAAUUAAUAUCUUAUUCAUAGCACUUAUCAUUAUUUUAAUUCAUAUAUUUUGUAAAUUCAACUAAAAAUUUGUGUUACCUUCAUCAUUGCAUUUUAAUUAGAAAUAAUUCAAGUUUGAUUAUUUUUAUUGAUCGAAUCUAAUCUAUGCAGGUCGAGUCUAACUUAUUUGGGAUGAUCACUGAACCUGAAUCGCAUGCACCCCGUGAAUCGGACCCUCUCAGAUUUCCGAUUCAGUCUAACUCAUCUGUUUCUUUCACAUCCAAUCGAGUUCAACCUUU
rnacentral:lncRNA from 1 species